rnacentral:rRNA from 1 species
AACGAACGCUGGCGGCAGGCCUAACACAUGCAAGUCGAACGCCGUAGCAAUACGGAGUGGCAGACGGGUGAGUAACGCGUGGGAACAUACCCCCUCGGUUCGGAAUAACUCAGGGAAACUUAGAGCUAAUACCGGAUACGUCCGAGGUUUUAAUCGACCUUGGAGAAAGAUUUAUCGCCGGAGGAUUGGCCCGCGUCUGAUUAGCUUGUUGGUGAGGUAAUGGCUCACCAAGGCGACGANCAGUAGCUGGUCUGAGAGGAUGAUCAGCCACAUUGGGACUGAGACACGGCCC